UGUCAGACGGUGAAGGUGGGG
rnacentral:misc_RNA from 1 species